GAUGAACGCUGGCUACAGGCUUAACACAUGCAAGUCGAGGGGAAACGACGGGGAAGCUUGCUUCCCCGGGCGUCGACCGGCGCACGGGUGAGUAACGCGUAUCCAACCUGCCUCUGACUGAGGGAUAACCCGUCGAAAGUCGGCCUAAUACCUCAUGGCAUCGUCUGCGGGCAUCCAACGACGAUUAAAGAUUUCAUCGGUCAGAGAUGGGGAUGCGUCUGAUUAGCUUGUUGGCGGGGUAACGGCCCACCAAGGCGACGAUCAGUAGGGGUUCUGAGAGGAAGGUCCCCCACAUUGGAAAUGAGACACGGUCCAAACUCCUACGGGAGGCAGCAGUGAGGAAUAUUGGUCAAUGGGCGAGAGCCUGAACCAGCCAAGUAGCGUGCAGGAUGACGGCCCUAUGGGUUGUAAACUGCUUUUAUGCGGGGAUAAAGUGAGGGACGUGUCCUUCAUUGCAGGUACCGCAUGAAUAAGGACCGGCUAAUUCCGUG
rnacentral:rRNA from 1 species